rnacentral:rRNA from 1 species
GAGUAACACGUAGGUAACUUACCUCUAAGACGAGGAUAACGACUGGAAACGGUCGCUAAAACUGGAUAGGAUCAUUUGAGGCAUCUCGAAUGAUUUAAAGGGGCUUUCAAGCCACACUUAGAGAAAGGCCUGCGGCGCAUUAGCUAGUUGGUGGGGUAGAGGCCUACCAAGGCGAUGAUGCGUAGCCGGACUGAGAGGUCGAACGGCCACAUUGGGACUGAGACACGGCCCAAACUCCUACGGGAGGCAGCAGUAGGGAAUUUUCGGCAAUGGGGGAAACCCUGACCGAGCAACGCCGCGUGAAUAGAAGACGUAUUUCGGUAUGUAAAGUUCUUUUAUUAAGGAAGAAUAUCACGGAUAGGAAAUGAUCUGUGGGUGACGGUACUUAAUGAAUAAGCCCCGGCUAACUAUGUGCCAGCCGCUGC